AGGCAAGAGCCACUGCACCUGGCCCCACCCUGCAUUCUACCACCUGAAGGUAGACCAUAUGGAACACAAGACAGUGCAGUCACAAUGCCCAGCUCACCAAAGAAGAAGGCAAGACAAGCCACUGCAGCAUCAGGAAAUCUAGCUUCAAGAGCAGAGUGACCUGGGGCCAGUUCUCAUUUGAGCCUCAGUGAGCCUCAGUUUCCUCAAAUGGAAUAAUGGAAGCCCCCUCUCAGCAUUUUGAGAGCCAAAUGAGAUCAGCAAAUUCCAGUCAUCUGUGUCCAGGCUGCCCUGGGUGCUGGAUCCUAUGUGCUGCGAUGGACUUAUGAGUGAAUGCAUCAAAAAGACCAAGUUGAACUUAUGAGCGAAUGCAUCAAAAAGACCAAGACUUGAUCCCUUGCCCACAAAGAUACAAGGCUGAGGACAAAGCCAUGAAGGAAAAGCCUCAUUGAAGAAGAGGAACCUAAGAGAAGCAGGUUCUGCUCUGAUGAACUCCCAUAAAGGCAUUCCCAUAAAGGUGUGAGCCUGAGUGAUAAUCUAGAUAUGGUACAGUUGACAUCAGGUAUAUGGCGGCAGCCAGAAAUUCAACUUUGUCCAUCAGCUCUCUGCACAACAGGAAAGAUGGUGACCUUCCAGGCUUAUCUGAGGUCCAAGAGUAACAUCACAAACACAGUAACUACACCCAGCCAAAGAAAAGCAUACCUGAAUCCA